GACGGGGGGGGCAAGUGUUCUUCGGAAUGACUGGGCGUAAAGGGCACGUAGGGGGUGAAUCGGGUUGGAAGUGAAAGUCGCCAAAAAGUGGCGGAAUGCUCUCGAAACCAAUUCACUUGAGUGAGACAGAGGAGAGUGGAAUUUCGUGUGUAGGGGUGAAAUCCGUAAAUAUACGAAGGAACGCCAAAAGCAAAGGCAGCUCUCUGGGUCCCUACCGACGCUGGGGUGCGAAAGCAUGGGGAGCGAACAGG
rnacentral:rRNA from 1 species